GGAAGGAAGCAGGGAGGGGAGGGGGCUGCAGAGACAUAGACUGGUCUGGAAACCUCAAAGGCUCAGUCUGGCUGAUGACGAGGGUGAGGCUCCCAAUCUCAGCCGAGGUUCCGGACGGUCCAGGGACAGGGCCUCUGGGGUGGGGUGCAAGUGAAAGGGGGUUCUAGAAGCCCGGAACUGACAUUUACUGACAAUAACGGAUACAGCUGCAAAAUAGCCUUCCCGAGGGCACUCGUGCCACGUUUCCAUGAGCCCCUCCCCCAUCGGCCCCCCCAAACCCCCACAUAUUCCCUCUCAUGCAGAAGCACACUGCAGUGCCAUCUCCACUCCCUCCUUGCCUCCCCCCUCCCAAGCAGCUGGGAGAUCUGGCAGCUGAACCUCAGGGACCCUCCCACUAAGGCACAUUCCCUACCCCAGCUUUUGCCCCCCCCCCAAAAAAAACCCCUCCCUUUACACCAAAGAUUCUGUCCUAUAUGUCUGUGUCAUCCCCGGCUGCAAAAGGAUGGGAGCUGCUUAUGUGCCUCCACUUCUCUUUGGGACUCCUUUAGGAAGAUUCUGAGAGGAAAAAAAGCUGAGGGAAGACUAGGGGCCAUAAAAGAGGAAGAGAUACCGCCUCUCCCCCCA